CUCUUAUCUAGAGAGGUGGAGGGACUGGCCCUAUGAAGCCCGGCAACCAGUGUGUAAUCACAAGGUGCUAAUUCCUGCGGCAUAUGCUGAAAGAUGAGAG
rnacentral:ncRNA from 2 species